ACGCCUUAUACAUGCAAGUCGAACGGAGUAGCAAUACUCAGUGGCAGACGGGUGAGUAACAUGUAGGUAUCUUCCCUUUGGUGAGGAAUAACACGAGGAAACUUGUGCUAAUACCUCAUAAGUCUUUACGGAGAAAGCUUUAUGCGCCAUUGGAUGAGCCUGCACUUGAUUAGUUUGUUGGUGGGGUAAUGGCCCACCAAGACUUUGAUCAAUAGCUGAUUUGAGAGGAUGAUCAGCCACAUUGGGACUGAGACACGGCCCAAACUCCUACGGGAGGCAGCAGUAGGGAAUCUUGCACAAUGGAGGAAACUCUGAUGCAGCGAUGCCGCGUGAGUGAAGAAGGCCCUUGGGUUGUAAAGCUCUUUCGUCGGGGAAGAAAAUGACUGUACCCGAAUAAGAAGGUCCGGCUAACUUCGUGCCAGCAGCCGCGGUAAUACGAAGGGACCUAGCGUAGUUCGGAAUUACUGGGCUUAAAGAGUUCGUAGGUGGUUAAAAAAGUUGGUGGUGAAAUCCCAGAGCUUAACUCUGGAACUGCCAUCAAAACUUUUUAGCUAGAGUAUGAUAGAGGAAAGCAGAAUUUCUAGUGUAGAGGUGAAAUUCGUAGAUAUUAGAAAGAAUACCAAUUGCGAAGGCAGCUUUCUGGAUCAUUACUGACACUGAGGAACGAAAGCAUGGGUAGCGAAGAGGAUUAGAUACCCUCGUAGUCCAUGCCGUAAACGAUGUGUGUUAGACGUUGGAAAUUUAUUUUCAGUGUCGCAGCGAAAGCAAUAAACACACCGCCUGGGGAGUACGACC
rnacentral:rRNA from 1 species